AACGAACGCUGGCGGCAUGCCUAACACAUGCAAGUCGAACGAGACCUUCGGGUCUUGUGGCGCCCGGGUGCGUAACGCGUGGGAACCUGCCCUUAGGUUCGGAAUAACUCCCCGAAAGGGGUGCUAAUACCGGAUAAUGUCUUCGGACCAAAGAUUUAUCGCCUUUGGAUGGGCCCGCGUUGGAUUCGCUAGUUGGUAGGGUAAAAGCCUACCACGGCGACGAUCCAUAGCUGGUCUGAGAGGAUGAUCAGCCACACUGGGACUGAGACACGGCCCAGACUCCUACGGGAGGCAGCAGUGGGGAAUAGUGGACAGUGGGCGAAAGCCUGAUCCAGCAAGGACGGGUGAGUGAUGAAGGCCUUAGGGUUGUAAAGCUCUUUUAACCGGGAUGAUAAUGACAGUACCGGGAGAAUAAGCUCCGGCUAACUACGUG
rnacentral:rRNA from 1 species